AUUGAAGGCUGGCGGAAUGCUUUACACAUGCAAGUCGAACGGCAGCACGGACUUCGGUCUGGUGGCGAGUGGCGAACGGGUGAGUAAUGUAUCGGAACGUGCCCAGUCGUGGGGGAUAACGUAGUGAAAAUUACGCUAAUACCGCAUACGAUCUAUGGAUGAAAGCGGGGGAUCGCAAGACCUCGCGCGAUUGGAGCGGCCGAUAUCAGAUUAGGUAGUUGGUGGGGUAAAGGCCCACCAAGCCAACGAUCUGUAGCUGGUCUGAGAGGACGACCAGCCACACUGGAACUGAGACACGGGCCAGACUCCUACGGGAGGCAGCAGUGGGGAAUUUUGGACAAUGGGCGAAAGCCUGAUCCAGCCAUUCCGCGUGCAGGAUGAAGGCCCUCGGGUUGUAAACUGCUUUUGUACAGAACGAAAAGGUUUCUACUAUACUAGGAGCUCAUGACGGUACUGUAAGAAUAAGCACCGGCUAACUACGUGCCAGCCGCCGCCGUAA
rnacentral:rRNA from 1 species